rnacentral:rRNA from 1 species
GACGAACGCUGGCGGCGUGCUUAACACAUGCAAGUCGAACGGAAAGGCCCUGCUUUUGUGGGGUGCUCGAGUGGCGAACGGGUGAGUAACACGUGAGUAACCUGCCCUUGACUUUGGGAUAACUUCAGGAAACUGGGGCUAAUACCGGAUUGGAGCUCCUGCUGCAUGGUGGGGGUUGGAAAGUUUCGGCGGCUGGGGAUGGACUCGCGGCUUAUCAGCUUGUUGGUGGGGUAGUGGCUUACCAAGGCUUUGACGGGUAGCCGGCCUGAGAGGGUGACCGGCCACAUUGGGACUGAGAUACGGCCCAGACUCCUACGGGAGGCAGCAGUGGGGAAUAUUGCACAAUGGGCGGAAGCCUGAUGCAGCAACGCCGCGUGCGGGAUGACGGCCUUCGGGUUGUAAACCGCUUUCGCCUGUGACGAAGCGUGAGUGACGGUAAUGGGUAAAGAAGCACCGGCUAACUACGUG